GUUGACCUCGGAUCAGGUAGGGAUACCCGCUGAACUUAAGCAUAUCAAUAAGGCGAGAGGAA
rnacentral:rRNA from 1 species